GUCCUAAAAGACCUUCUGUACGAGUGGAGUUGCAGAGGUGACCUUCAGUAAACCGGGACAGCUCGUCUUUCCCUGGGGACAGGACAGGGAAGGGCGCGAUGGGGACAGGUUCCUUCCCUACAAGCCAGCCCACGCAACUGUGUGCGCGCACCUUCUCAGCCGCGGCCCACCGAGAGGCGCCGAGGGCCGCCCAGGCCUAGCGCUCACGCUGCACGGAAACCCCCAACCCUCGGCGGGCUCCGGCCUCGCAACUUCACAACCUGCUGGUGGAAAGCAAAAGGGAUCCGAGUUCUGGCAACCGACAAAGGGACCUGAAGGACACUGCUGAUGACUUCUGAGACUCCCAGAUGAAUAUCAGAGAGGUGCCACAGAGCCACAGAUGCCUUUUGAAAUCUUCGGUCUUCCUCAUGGAGCCUCAAGAAUUAUAGGUUAAGUUCCUCUCA